rnacentral:rRNA from 1 species
UACGUAGGUGGCAAGCGUUGUCCGGAUUUACUGGGCGUAAAGCGUGUGCAGGCGGUUCGGCAAGUUGGAUGUGAAAUCUCCCGGCUCAACUGGGAGGGGUCGUUCAAUACUACCGAACUUGAGGGCAUCAGAGGAAGGUGGAAUUCCGGGUGUAGUGGUGAAAUGCGUAGAUAUCGGGAGGAACACCAGUGGCGAAGGCGACUACCUGGCCUGUUCUUGACGCUGAGGCGCGAAAGCUAGGGGAGCAAACGGG